rnacentral:rRNA from 1 species
GACAGGAGGGGGCAAGCGUUGCUCGGAAUCAGCUGGGCGUAAAGGGCGCGUAGGCGGGAUGGCAAGUCAGUCGUGAAAUCUCUCGGCUCAACCGAGAAACGUCGGCUGAUACUGCCGUUCUUGAGGGAUGCAGAGGAGACUGGAAUUCCCGGUGUAGCGGUGAAAUGUGUAGAGAUCGGGAGGAACACCGGUGGCGAAAGCGGCGCUCUGGAACAUUUCUGACGCUGAGGCUCGAAAGCGUGGGGAGCAAACAGG